AGCCCUCUUCACCCGUGCUGAAAUUUCGUCACACACUAGACCACAAAAGCUGAUGAGGCUCUCAAGAUAAGUAAAGCA
rnacentral:pre_miRNA from 1 species